UCCCUGGCAGUCCAGUGGUUAGCACUCUGUGCUCUCACUGCUGAGGGCCCAGGUUCAAUUCCUGGUGAGGGAA
rnacentral:tRNA from 1 species